rnacentral:rRNA from 1 species
UACGUAGGUGGCAAGCGUUGUCCGGAAUUAUUGGGCGUAAAGCGCGCGCAGGCGGAUCUGCCAGUCUGUCUUAAAAGUUCGGGGCUUAACCCCGUGAUGGGAUGGAAACUACAGAUCUAGAGUAUCGGAGAGGAAAGCGGAAUUCCUAGUGUAGCGGUGAAAUGCGUAGAUAUUAGGAGGAACACCAGUGGCGAAGGCGGCUUUCUGGACUGUAACUGACACUGAGGCUCGAAAGCCAGGGGAGCGAACGGG